GAUGAACGCUGGCGGCGUGCCUAAUACAUGCAAGUCGAGCGAACAGACCAGGAUCUUGCUCCUCUGACGUUAGCGGCGGGCGGGUGAGUAACACGUGGAUAACCUACCUAUAAGACUGAGAUCACUACGGGAAACCGGAGCUAAUACCAGAUAAUAUAUUGAUCCGCAUUGUUCGAUAGUAAAAUACGGUUUUUCGGUCACUUCUAGAGGGAUCCGCGCCGCAUUGGCUAGUUGGUAAGGUAACGGCUUAUCAAGGCUACGAUGCGUAGCCGACCUGAGAGGGUGAUCGGCCACACUGGAAGUGAGACACGGUACAGAGGGAUAGGGGAGGGAGCCGUAGGGAAUCUUGCGGAAUGGGCGGAAGCUUGACGGAGAAGCGCCGAGUGAGGGAGGAGGGUCUCCGGAUCGUAGAAGUCUGUUAUUGGGGAAGAAACCAUGUGUGCGUGACUAGGAACGUCUUGAAGGUAAAUAAGCAGAGAGGCACGGCUAACUACGUG
rnacentral:rRNA from 1 species